rnacentral:rRNA from 1 species
GGAUUUUUUCUAAACGGCCGCAGAAUUUUAACUGUGCUAAGGUAGCAUAAUCAUUUGUCUUUUAAUUGAAGACCGGUAUGAAUGGUUUAACGAAAUUUUACUGUCUCUUUUGUACUAACUAUAAUUUAAUCUUAAAGUCAAAAAGCUUUAAUUUAAUAAAAAGACAAAAAGACCCUAUAGAGUUUUAUUUUUAUAAAUUUAAUAAUUCUGAUAAAAAUUUUGUUGGGGCAACUAGGAAAAAAUAAAUUUUUCCAUAAAACACACUAACAAUAAUCUAUCAUUUACUUAAUAACGCAAAACAAAUUACCUUAGGGAUAACAGCGUAAUUUUCUUUGAGAGUUCAAAUCGAAAAGAAAAAUUAC